rnacentral:rRNA from 1 species
UACGUAGGGGGCGAGCGUUAUCCGGAGUUACUGGGCGUAAAGCGUCCGCAGGCGGUCCGGUAAGUUUGAAGUGACAGUGCUCGGCUUAACUGAGUAAGUGCUUUGAAAACUGCCAGACUUGAGGGUCCGAGAGGAAGAUGGAAUUCCAGGUGGAGCGGUGAAAUGCGUAGAGAUCUGGAGGAACACCAAAGGCGAAGGCAAUCUUCUGGAGGACACCUGACGCUAAGGGACGAAAGCUAGGGGAGCGAACGGGAUUAGAUACCCCGGUAGUCCUAGCCGUAAACGAUGACCACUAGAUGUACGGGGUAUCGACCCCCCGUGUGUCGGCGUUAACACACUAAGUGGUCCGCCUGGGGAGUACGGUCGCAAGAUUAAA